rnacentral:rRNA from 1 species
UCGUAGUUGAAUUUCGGGGUCAGUAGGUCGGUCGUGCCACUGGUAUGCACUGGUCUCACUGAUUCCUCCUUCUUGUAGAACCGUAAUGCCAUUAAGUUGGUGUUGCGGGGAAACAGGGCUGUUACUUUGAAAAAAUUAGAGUGUUUAAAGCAAGCUAACGCUUGAAUACAUUAGCAUGGAAUAAUGAAAUAGGACGAACGAUCCUAUUUUGUUGGUUUUCUAGGAUUGACGUAAUGAUUAAUAGGGAUAUUGGGGGCAUUAGUAUUCAAUUGUCAGAGGUGAAAUUCUUGGAUUUAUUGAAGACUAACUACUGCGAAAGCAUUUGCCAAGGAUGUUUUCAUUAAUCAAGAACGAAAGUUAGGGGGAUCGAAGACGAUCAGAUACCGUCGUAGUCUUAACCAUAAACUAUGCCGACUAGGGAUCGGAUGAUGUUAAUUUUAUAAUGACUCAUUCGGCGCCUUACG